rnacentral:lncRNA from 1 species
GAAAAACAACAAAGAAAUCCCACAUAUGAAUAAGUGAUGUAUUCCUAGAACACAGACCGCCACCUUUGAGAUCAAUUCAUUAUCCAAGCCACACUCCCCCAGUGGAAUUCCUGCUGUGCAAAAGGAUUUUCAAGGAAAGCUCUCUACAGCCUCAGCAAACUUCAUCAUUUUAGAAAUGAUGCUUGCAUCUCAGUGCUUUGCAAAUGAAAGAAAACAAAGAAAACAGAAAAAAAAAAAAAGUCUCAGACGCCUUGUUUACCUGGUGCAUUAUAGUUAAUUUUGCCCUUUUUCCUGCAUUUUGAGUUGGGCAAUCAGUUUCUUGGGAAGUUUCAUGGGUUUUACAAAAUGUGAAACCAUGUGUUGCUAUUUAUAACUGCCCUGGGUUGUGAAAGCAAAUGAUUUAUCAUAGAGCACAGAGGCUGAUGUAAACUGUUUGCAGAUGAUAGUGUUGGGUAGAGGGAUAGUGGAAAUGUCCUUUCUACUGCAACAUGUAGAUUUUUAGACUUGCAAAAGAUGCAGAGCUUUGUGACAGGACACAGUAAAAGCAUGGAAUGAAAAGAGCUGGGUGUGCAAUGGACACUAUGAGUCACAUCACCUGUUAGCAGUUACAGCACUUGUGUUCAAAAUCUGCACUGUGUCUAUCUCAAUCUACUUAGAAAUGAUAAGUACUUUACCAUUCCCAUAAUGAUGCUCCUAGAUGGGAGCAGAAGACCGGUUUCUCGUUGUCCUUGUGGCAGCAGUAGAUGUUUUGGGAAGGUGCACAAUAACAGGACAUACGUGGAGGGGGAUCCUUUCCCAGGCAGUGAAUCAGAGAAAAAAAAAGCUUGCCAGAGAGGAAUGGAAGAUGAUUUGGAAGCAUGCUAAUGAGCCGGGGGAAAGAUGGAAUUCCCACAUUUUUACUCGUAACUACCUUCACCAGCUGCGAAGACAAAGCCAAGCCAUGGCUUCCUCUCUGCACCCUACCAGCCAUGCUGCGCCUAUUCACUGUCAGGGAACAGACGUGGGAGUGCAGCAGCUCUUUCAGUAUCAUCGUGGAUUUUGGAUUUUGGGUAGUAGUGCUCCAGGUUACCAGACACCUGCCUGUUGAAAGUGAGAAGACCUGCGUUUGGCAGGCUGUAUCAGUUUCAUAACAUCAGACCAUUCAGAGCUUAGCAGGACAGAUAAGAACUCAGAUGAAGUUUCCAUACAUCACCACACAAUGGGGAGGCAAGCUUAGUCAUGAGCAUUCUUCCAGUGUUUUUUCCUUCCUUCCAUACACCGAGAAAAAUAGAUAUUUUCUCUCAAAAUUGCUAAGGAAUGAUUUAUCUAGUAGCUCAUCGUAGUCCUACAGCCUUGAACAUGUGCCUGUCUGCUCCAGUCUCUGCAUAUCGCAAUUACCCGGUGUCUGCUCAUAUUGUCUUAAGUCAAGGGAAGCCUUCAUUGAAGACAGUAAGUGCUCACUGAAGACAUUAACUGCUGCUAUCUGCUUUGGGCACCCAGAUUCCCAAAAGUGAUAUUCCUGUGUGUUGUCUGGGCUUGAGCUGCCUUGAGGAUGCUAUUGAACCUCCAUUGGGCUUUUAUCAGAAAAUAGCUACUUACCCUCUGAACUGCAACACCCCCGAAAGGCAAUGAAGGAACUGCAAAGUGGGAUUGAUGUGUUUGUUGACAGUCAAUAAUGACAACAUUUUGAACUGAGUUUAAUUAUGGCAAUUUUUGUGCAGGAAAGGUGCAGGUUGUGUUCACCAAGUCUAGUGGUUUUAUUUCGACACACUGCAGCACUGAAACAUGCUAAUGUUCCAUUGUCAAGCAGCCGGUAAAAAAAUAAAUAAAAAAAAAAAAGCUGAUAAUUUACA